rfam:Cathartes aura contig145172, whole genome shotgun sequence.
ACCUGCCCUAGCAAGGGGUUGUGGUCUCACCCGUGACCCAGUCGUUGAUAGCGCAGGGAGAGGAGCUCGGAAAGCGUUUCCCGUGUUCAACGGGUUCAAUCCCGUCGCUCCCAAACCCUGCAGCCUUCAGACA